CUCCCUACGGGAGGCAGCAGUGAGGAAUAUUGGUCAAUGGCCGAGAGGCUGAACCAGCCAAGUCGCGUGAGGGAUGACGGCCCUACGGGUUGUAAACCUCUUUUGUCGGGGAGCAAGACCCGCCUCGUGCAGGCGGAGCGAGAGUACCCGAAGAAAAAGCAUCGGCUAACUCCGUGCCAGCAGCCGCGGUAAUACGUAGGGGGCAAGCGUUAUCCGGAUUUACUGGGUGUAAAGGGAGCGUAGGUGGCGUGCCAAGUCAGGAGUGAAAACCCAGGGCCCAACCCUGGGACUGCUCUUGAAACUGG
rnacentral:rRNA from 1 species